rnacentral:tRNA from 1 species
GCCCCUAUCGUCUAGCGGUCUAGGACGUCGCCCUCUCACGGCGAUAACACCAGUUCAAAUCUGGUUGGGGGUA